rnacentral:antisense_RNA from 1 species
UUCUGGGAUUGUUUUGUCUUUCAGAAAGCGCUACUGCGGAGUGAACCGAUCCUUAUAUCUUAGUUUCAUGACUUUGGGGGCGGCAGGCCUGUGAGUUGUUUUCCGCCCUGGACGCUGUUUUGCAAAGAUCUUUGCGCGCCCACCGCCACCCUCUCGGGCGUGCGGGCCGGGAAGCAGCCAGCGGUGGGAAACUCCGACGCCCUCCCCGAUACUUUUCUCCCCCCAACUCCCCAAGACUCACUUCUAGGGAAGUCCUUUUUCCCAUUAAGCCCUGGGAAAGACUGGCCAGGCUGAGAGAGGGACCCGUCCUCCUCUGUGCCAAAGGCGGGAGCAAAUCCUGGUGCUGUCGCCUUUGGAUGUGAGUCCUGGAAAUGGCGGGGGUGAGGACGGUGGGCAGGGGCAAGGUUUGGCCCUCAGGGGAGAACCGACGCCUUGUCCCGGAAGCGCAGCACGGCCGAGUGCGUCCGGGGGUGCAGACGGCGCCCUGGGGUGGUCCUGCCGCCGCCUCUCCUUUGACACCGGAGCGCUGCGCCGCGUCCGGGCGCGUUCUCAGUCGCGCGAAGCGAGAGGACCCUGGGCGUGAUUCUCCCUCCCUGGCACAGACGGAGACCCGAGUGACCCCGGGGUCCGGGUGGGCGUGGGGAAUGGACCCAUAGGCCCGGGAUGAGCGGCGCGGAGCCCGCAGCUGGCCAGCUUCAGCCACCUUGGGAGACGCAGUGCAGCUGCCGCUGCUGACAGACAAGACCAAGGCUCGGCGGGGCCCCACCCCAGAUCCGGCCUGAGCGCCUUCCGCGCUGCUCGGCCUCAGGGCGAAACUUUUUGCGCAGAAAGUCCUGGAGAACAGCCCCGGCCGCCACGUACGCCCGGACCGCAAAGCCCACAGAGCUUCAAUUCGGAGGAAGGGGAGUGGGGAGCCCUGAGCUGGGGUGUUCCUGGAGGAGGUCGGGGAGCGGGGGGAGAGGCAUUCCAGGCUGGAGGCCUGGAAACAUUUGGAAGCUUUGCUAACCUUGGAGACCAUGUCAGGAAAGAAGCGUACCCAGGCCGUCUGCGGUGUGCCCACCCGGGUCCCUAUCCGUGCCCCACGCACUCGAGCUCUUCCUCGGCGUCUCCAGCCUCUUCAUCCGCGCGGAGAGGCGGAGGUCUCCCGGAAACAGAGUCCGACCUGUGGCACCCCAGAGCGUCCAAUGCGAGCUCAGGCCUUUCCCACAAGUCUGGAGUUUUCUUAUCCAGUUGAGGCCGCCUUCGCUGUACUCACUCCCUGCCUCCCGCCCCAUCUUCUGCCACCCGACCUCCAUCUUUGAUGGUUAGCGCCUUCAGCCCUCAACAGCUUCGCACAACCAACCCCUAGAAGCCGUGGAGUCAGACCGGCCAGGGUGGGACCUAGGUUUUAACUCGGGUUCUGGCUAUACACGCUGUGCCUCCAUACAGUUUGUCCCAGAUUUGGCAGCGGGCUGGCUACCUUCAGGAACUUUUUGCUUUGGCCUCUGUCUGUUCCUGUCCCAGUUGGGCAAGUUUCUAGCUACCCCACUGAGAGAACCAUAGAACAAGGACCCUGGCAUGGCAUACAGACAAGGAAUGUUUGCUGAAUUAAUGGAGCUGGUGCCUUGCAGCUUCCCUUUUGUUCCUUGAAGUUGCCCUUGCUCUCCUCCACAUCAGCUCCCUCUCCUCCUCAGCUACUUAUUCCCCACCCUGGCUUCUUUUCGUCUCAGUCCCCAAGUAUUUGCUGAAUCCUGUAUGGACAGCCUAAGCCUCCAUUUCUGACAAUUCCUGUGGCCCCACUCCAUUUGUUUUUUAGACUUCUCCCUCCUUUUUGUCCCCAUCCCCCAAGUUAUAAAACUAUAAUGCAA